GACGAACGCUGGCGGCGUGCUUAACACAUGCAAGUCGAACGGUGAAGCUCCAGCUUGCUGGAGUGGAUCAGUGGCGAACGGGUGAGUAACACGUGAGCAACCUGCCCCUGACUCUGGAAUAAGCGCUGGAAACGGCGUCUAAUACUGGAUACGAGAAGGGUCCGCAUGGGCACUUUCUGGAAAGUUUUUCGGUUGGGAUGGGCUCGCGGCCUAUCAGCUUGUUGGUGAGGGAAUGGCUCACCAAGGCGACGACGGGUAGCCGGCCUGAGAGGGCGACCGGCCACACUGGGACUGAGACACGGCCCAGACUCCUACGGGAGGCAGCAGUGGGGAAUAUUGCACAAUGGGCGAAAGCCUGAUGCAGCGACGCCGCGUGAGGGAUGACGGCCUUCGGGUUGUAAACCUCUUUCAGCAGGGAAGAAGCGAAAGUGACGGUACCUGCAGAAGAAGCACCGGCUAACUACGUG
rnacentral:rRNA from 1 species